rnacentral:rRNA from 1 species
AGCAGUAGCCACGGUAAUACGUAGGGUGCGAGCGUUAAUCGGAAUUACUGGGCGUAAAGCGUGCGCAGGUGGUUAUAUAAGACAGAUGUGAAAUCCCCGGGCUCAGCCUGGGACCUGCAUUUGUGACUGUAUAGCUAGAGUAAGGUAGAGGGGGAUGGAAUUCCGCGUGUAGCAGUGAAAUGCGUAGAUAUGCGGAGGAACACCGAUGGCGAAGGCAAUCCCCUGGACUUGUACUGACGCUCAUGCACGAAAGCGUGGGGAGCAAACAGGAUUAGAUACCCGCGUAGUCCCUGUCUCUUAUAC